GCACGCAUGGUCCAACGGCAAGACGUUGCCUUUUCACGGCAGAAGCAUGGGUUCGACUCCCAUUGAGUGCG
rnacentral:tRNA from 1 species